rnacentral:lncRNA from 1 species
CUUAGAUCAUUUGGCCACUUCCUGUUAUUUUUGUUGAUGAGGAAAUGAUGGAUAAUAGAAAACAGAGAACCAGAGUGCAUACCAUUCUCGGGCAAAGGGUAAUCAGAAAGUGCCCAGAUCUGACGAGAAAGAGUGCAAGUGAAGAGGGCAUGUUCAAUUGACUCACCUUCAAGACCACAGUAUUGACAUCUACUGUCGACUUUCAUUCCUCUGUGGGAAAGAAGAUCAGCCACUGGUAAAGCACCACUCAGCACCUUCCAAAGAAAGACUUUG